rnacentral:rRNA from 1 species
UACAGAGGUCUCAAGCGUUGUUCGGAUUCAUUGGGCGUAAAGGGUGUGUAGGUGGCGCCGUAAGUCGGGUGUGAAAUUUCGGAGCUUAACUCCGAAACUGCAUUCGAUACUGCGGUGCUUGAGGACUGGAGAGGAGACUGGAAUUCAUGGUGUAGCAGUGAAAUGCGUAGAGAUCAUGAGGAAGACCAGUGGUGAAGGCGGGUCUCUGGACAGUUCCUGACACUGAGACACGAAGGCCAGGGGAGCAAACGGG